UGCUCAGUACUCAGUUGAUAUUCGUUAAAGGUGAUCGUCGGACGUGAUAUUGUCGUCCAAGGCAAAUAUAUCGUAGUCUUUCUUUUAUUAUUCGUAAACUGUAAAUCGUGUUCAUUGUCUGUCGAUUUCACAUUGAUGUGCAAUUCUUGUUUAACUAAAAGUUAAUGCAUUAAACCAAAAGUGUUGCAGUCUUAAGAGCUACAGAGUUGAUAAAAAGAAAAUAUAAAUAAAAGAGAAACGCCACGUUCUCUUGCUCUACAAAUACAUACGGGUGAUACAUACUUAUAUAUUUUAUGUGCAAUACAUACAAACACAGUGCAGAGCUUAUAAUUAGCUAGUUGCCUCACAUAGCAACAAUCGGAUUUUUUCACAACUAUCAAAAGUCUUUACACACUUUCUUUAAAUAUACUAUAGUACAAAUCAUUUCCACAAGCGUUGCGGAAAAUUUGUUAAGGGAGUUGAAAGUGAAAAGCAAGAAACAAAAUCACCCAGUGCGGUUCCAAUGUAGCCCUUCAUGGUUAAUUAACACGAGCUCGUUGUGUGACUAUAUCGCUGUUUCGUGUUAAAACUAUAUCUAUAAAGGUGUCAGAUCGUAGAAAAUCGAAAAAUAGACUAAAUACAAUUCACAUAAAUACCAUUAGUCAACAAAUACCAAACAAUUAACAGCGCAGACUUUGCGUGACUCAGCAACCAAUCAAAUUUUCCGUACUUCAAAUGGGUUGACUUGGGAUAUUUAAGCUUCCUGGACCCGGGAAACAAAAAAGGGAUAAACUUUGAACUUCAGUAAAUUGAAAUAGUUUGGACGCUCAAUAGAUACAUAAACCGCAUCUGCUGCUACUGGACAUAGCAGCGAGAAGGCAAUAGCAACCACAUACAUAAGCAACCACCUGUAACACACGCACACACGCA